GUUUUUUAGUGUUCAGUGGGAGUUGAUGAUAGUGGUUUGUUGUUUUGUCACUAGUAGUGGUGGAGUUGUUUGUCGACAGCCACACUACGCUGAAAGCACAGCUUCUCGCCCUGAUUUCGUCAAGUUUCCUGGACUGUUAUCGUGUUGUAUGUGGAGGGAUUCCAGAAACCACUGAACUUUUAAAGGAACGUUUUGACUAUAUUUUCUACACUGGCUCGCCACAAGUUGGAAAAAUAAUAAGAGAAGCAGCCAACAAGCACUUGACACCAACUACUUUGGAACUAGGGGGCAAAAGCCGUCUGGAGGAAUACUUAAAAGAGGGAAAGGUAGCUAUUGGUGGAGAAGUUAAUAGGGCAGAGAAAUGGAUAUCACCAACCAUACUGGUUAAUGUUUCUCCAGACAG